GCUACGGCCCGCGUCGGGACCUCUCGUCUAGCGACUUCUCCCCUCGGGGGAGGGGGUAGGUCGCGGGGCGAGUGUCCUCCCCGGCGCGGUGCCUCGGC
ensembl:miRNA mir738 microRNA 738